CUCAAAAUUAUUUUGAAGACCAAAAAUUUGUUUUUGUGUUGCAUGCUCAAACAUGAUUAGUAUUUAGUGUGGAAUAUUUUUGUAUGCACUAUCCGUCAAUCGGAGCUAAAACAGCUAGUAACGAACACGAUAAAACCAAAAAUGUAUCUAAGUACACAUAUUAUUUCCACAACCCCAAAGGACCUGGUUUCAAACGCUUCAAACUAUUUGUUACCCCACUGCACAGGUGCGAGCAUUAUACUUACUCGUACAUACAUACCUAUGUGAGUAUGUAUGUAAUGUUGCGAUUCCUACUGGAAGAGGUUUCUGUACAAGAAGAUGUCUUCGCUAUAUUCAAAUUCGAUGUAAUUGGGCAGCACUUUAGGAAUAUGGGCCUCAUUAAUAUGCUUGCGCAGCAAACAACUAAAGAGGGAACGAAACACCUGAUUCACGCUUGAAUGAUUUCCUUUAAAGGAAGCUGCGAGUGAACCAGAACCAGGCCUCACUAUCGAAGGAGCGGGUGGUAUGAGAGCGUCGCGAUUGCCAGAUGUUAAGGCUUUAAUACCCAUGUACGGCUCCUAAAACUGAUGUUACAUAUGUUACAUAUUAAGUACAUAUAUUAAAUAUGGCCAAAUAUUAAGCAUGGACUUCGACUGGCGUCGAAGAUCUGACCAUAUAUAAAGUGAUCUGUAUUUUGCCGAGCCUGAAUCCAUUUUUACGAUAAUUUGGAAAAAAGAACAAAAGAUAUGGUUUCUUAGAAUCCUUCAAUAUCUUGCAUAUUUAAGAUGGAAAGAUGUAAAUGUAUGAAAUUUGUAUGUAAGCCAACUGCUUCAUUAGGUCCAUAAAGCGAGUUCGUUGGACAUUAAUGUAUCCGAUGGAAAUUUUCAUAAACAUUGCGUUCGCUCUUCCAUUAAGCAAUUAAAUAAAUGAAAAUAAUUUGCGCUAACUCAGGAUCUCUCGCCAGCACCGGCUAAUGAAAAAAUAUUGCUUGAAAAGCAAGCUGGAGAUGAGUGCGAUACAUCAGAU